ensembl:lncRNA
AUGGCAUUUUCUAAAAGUGCUGACAUCUUGGUGAUGUGUUAUUUUACUCAUUUAUAUGACCUGAGCAACAAGGAUGCCAGCAGCCAUGAGUUGCUAAAAGAAGAGUUGAGGCUACUACCGCUGAGCAGUAAGAUUAGUAUGUUAACACACCAAAGGAAAGCAGCCACUAGGUCCAGUAGUUUGGGCGAUAUGGUGCUGAGAAGUCAUACUUUUCACUCCACAUGCCAAGGAAGAGAUGAAUUCCUUGAAGAUGAGGAAUCUCCACGUCAAAGGAGGAUAACUGUUGCAUCAUACAUUUGUCAGUCAAAGGACCAGACUGAAGAAAGUGCAUCGAAGUGGGAUUCUAAUGGGUACAGAGCCAAAACAUUAGCAGAGCUGAACACAGAGGAGCUUUGCCAGUGGUUUAGUAAUAUUGGUCUACAGAAAUGCCUGCCCUUCAUUAGAGAUGAGUUCUCCCCUAAGCAGCAGAUUGGAGAUUUGCCUGGCUCAGAGACGAGCCUAAUGGAGCUUCACUUAUGUAGGAAGGUAGACAGAAUUGCAUGUUGUAGUCGAAUAUUUCAAAGGAGUAAAUAA